rnacentral:rRNA from 1 species
AACGAACGCUGGCGGCAGGCUUAACACAUGCAAGUCGAACGCCCCGCAAGGGGAGUGGCAGACGGGUGAGUAACGCGUGGGAACGUGCCCUUCGCUUCGGAAUAGCCCCGGGAAACUGGGAGUAAUACCGGAUACGCCGUAUUGGGAAAGAUUUAUCGGCGAAGGAUCGGCCCGCGUUAGAUUAGCUAGUUGGCGGUGUAAUGGACCACCAAGGCUACGAUCUAUAGCUGGUCUGAGAGGAUGAUCAGCCACACUGGGACUGAGACACGGCCCAGACUCCUCCGGGAGGCAGCAGUGGGGAAUCUUGGACAAUGGGCGCAAGCCUGAUCCAGCCAUGCCGCGUGAGUGAAGAAGGCCUUAGGGUUGUAAAACUCUUUCGCCGGAGAAGAUAAUGACGGUAUCCGGAGAAGAAGCCCCGGCUAACUUCGUGCCAGCCGCCGCCGUAA